rnacentral:lncRNA from 1 species
AAGAGACAGGAAGCUGAUUUGCAUGAGCAACUUCUCCUCCUUAUGGACCUGGGAGGCAUGAAAAGGCCCCAAGGACACCACACUCCAGCCCAGGAGCCUGAGGAGGCGACGUCCUGUGAGUGUCCCCACCAUGGCCUGGAUGGUGCUUCUUCUCGGGCUCCUUGCUUACAGCUCAGACAGGUGCCAUCAAGUCCCCCCCUCACCAGCCUGGAGGGAGGAGGACACAGGAUGAAGAAGCAAGAGCAGCGAAUGCAGAUCUGGACACAGAACAGCAUGAGAAUGGUCAGUGCUGCCGCCAGCUCCAGGUCCCCUGAACCACCACUGAGCUCUCACGUCAGCCAGAGUCAGGGGUGGACUGAGGGGAAGCUGAGGGAGACACCAGGGCUUCCUGUGGUCAGCUGCACACAGGGCGUUGGACACGGUGGAGACAGCACUGAAGGAGCCUCUUUGAAUGGAGAGACGCCUGAGGAGUCGCUGUGGUCGUGUCCGGAGGCCCCCAGCUGAGACGGCGCCAGGGUUCCUGCUGGACUUCAUCUCCUGCCUUGUCAGUCAUUAAAGGUUUCACCUCUGCUGCUACCGUCACCAUCAGCUUCGGGCAGAUCCAGGCCUGGUUCUCCAGGGCCUGGCUCUGCCCCUGGCUGGUCCAUGACAGUCUUCCCUGAUGGAGGACAGUGAGCACAUCGAGGCCAGGAGGAGGCGUGUGUGAGAA